GACAGAGGUCCCAAGCGUUAGGCGGAAUCACUGGGCUUAAAGCGUGUGUAGGCGGAUCCGUAAGUACCUUGUGAAAUCCCACGGCUCAACCGUGGAACUGCUGGGUAUACUGCGGGUCUUGAGCCACCUAGGGGCGAGCGGAACAAGUGGUGGAGCGGUGAAAUGCGUAGAUAUCACUUGGAACGCCAAUGGUGAAAACAGCUCGCUGGGGGUGUGCUGACGCUGAGACACGAAAGCGUGGGGAGCAAACAGG
rnacentral:rRNA from 1 species